rnacentral:rRNA from 1 species
UACGUAGGGUGCGAGCGUUGUCCGGAAUUACUGGGCGUAAAGAGCUUGUAGGUGGUUUGUCGCGUUGUUCGUGAAAUCUCACGGCUCAACUGUGAGCGUGCGGGCGAUACGGGCAGACUAGAGUACUGCAGGGGAGACUGGAAUUCCUGGUGUAGCGGUGGAAUGCGCAGAUAUCAGGAGGAACACCGGUGGCGAAGGCGGGUCUCUGGGCAGUAACUGACGCUGAGGAGCGAAAGCAUGGGGAGCGAACAGG